UUUGUUCUGCGCAUGUUGAAUGUUUUACGACACACGAGAAAAAAAGUUACCACGGGAUUUUAAUUUCUCGGUCUGCAUUAACAAAUAGAACUUCCGCCAUUCGAGUGAGAAGGAGAAAGAAGAACGCCAUAAAGAAUAGGAGCAUAUUGAAUUUUUCUCCGGGAAGAAGAAUAUUUUUCACUUCUUGAAAAAAUGAAGACUUUUCAAUUUUACAACGACUUGAAAGAAUAUCUUUUACGGGAAGAAUUUAGCAACAAUUUAACGGUCAGAGAGCGAAGUGAAAUACGACGUGUGUCCGUGAAUUUUAUGAUUAAAGACCACCAACUUUUUUACACUGGGCCAAACCAACAAUACUUUCGUCUCGUUAUGAGUGAAGAACAAAAGAGAGCUGUCCUAAUGGAGUGUCAUGAUAAUCCUGGAACCGGCAACCAUAACGGUGUGAGAGGAACCAGAAACAGAGCUAUUGCUGGCUAUUUCUGACCAACUCUUACACACGAUGUAGCUAAUUGGGUGAGAUGUUGUCACCGCUGUCAGCUGAAUGAUCCCAUCAAGGCACCAGUCUUGCUUUCUAUCAAAGUAAUGGCUGGCUUCCGGUUUGUGAAAUAAAAUCAAAUGAGGGUAAUGAUUUAAUGGCAAACAUUUUAUCAGGUGAAAGAAGCUUGGGAGGUGGUAGGUCUGGAUCUCUUUGGCCCAAUGUGUGAAACUGCCAGAAGAAACAAGUAUGUGUUGACCAUGACUGACCUCUACACAAAGUGGAUCGUUGCUGAGCCUCUACAAACUAAAUCAGUGAGUGAAGUGUCUGCAGCCAUUAUAUGGAAGCUGUACACAUUUGGCCUGGUUAGGAAGAUCAUUACUGACCAAGGAAAAGAGUUUGUCAACAAGGUACUGUUGAAAAAAAUGCUUUUUAUUUUUAAAUUGAAACAUUUCUUGAAAAAGUCCAUUAUUUAUAAACCCAUUUUUUAUCCCUUGUGUGAACUACUGAAGCAAUUCUGUUGAUUCUUCGUCCACAGUUAAAUGAGAAUAUCUUUGGAGUCCUAAAAAUAAAGCAUGCUGUCUCCAGUGCUUACCAUCCUCAGACAAAUGGGCAGCUGAAGUAUGUCCUGGACUCACAUCGUCCCUCAGCAGAACUGAUUGUCAAGGAUGGAAAUAUCUGCCUUACACGUGAGGACUUCUGGAGUCUUGGGUUAAACUGGUGCAUAGAUUCCAAUAUUGGAAAUGCCUGCUUCAAGAUAGUACAAGAAGCAGCCCAAACACAUGUAAUUUAUUUUUGUGUCUCAUUCACUGACCUUUGUUGGAUAAAAUAUUGUUUCUAUAUUGGUUUAUUUCUUUAUAAUUCUUUAAUUCUGUUUUUAACAGGGGAAAGAUAUUCACAUUGUGGAUAUAUAUGUGGUGCCCACAUGGAAAACCAAGAAUGUGGACCCACUUGUUGGUUUGCCAGUAAGUUUCGAGUUCAGUAUUUAUUUGUUCAUUUAUAUUCAUAAUUGUGUGUUAAUAUUUAUAUCUCAAUAAUUACAGGACAACCUGGGUUCAAAAGAUGCCAUAUUGUUUCCUGCUUGGAGCAGGCAACAAGAUCAAGUGGAUCACUAUUUGCUAUGUGUUGAGUUUCAAUUUCUUACAUGCAACUACAAUAAUUUUUAUUAUAUUAUUUUGACAAAUCAUAGCACUGUUAACCAUGUAUUCAUAUGGAAACAUUUCAGGUUUUACUGGUAGCUGAAAGGGAGAUAUUAUUUUUAGAUUCUCUUCGCCCUGAUGGUUUUGGAGAUGAGACCUACAGAACCAUAUUUAGGUUUGGAAAUAAUUGCCAUUCUUGUUUAAUGAUGGCCCUUGUUCAAUGGGUACAAGUUCCAGUCAUGGCCUUGUUCUAUGGCCAGAUGUUCUAGUUGUAGUCUUGUUCUAUGACUACAGGUUUUGGUUGUGAUUUUGUUCUGUGGUUACAGGUUAAGGUUGUGGCCUUGUUUUAUGGUCUGAGGUUCCAGUUCUGACCUCUUAUUAUAGUUACAGGUUCCCAUUUUGGCCUUGUUCUUUGGUCAGCGGUUUUACUUGCUGUCUUAUUCUAAGGCUGCAGGUUAUAUUUCAGAUUUGAUCUGUGGUUACAGGUUUGGGUUGCACCCUUGUUCUAUGGUUACAGGUUACAGUUGCGGCCUUGUUCUUUGGCCAGAGGUGUCCAGUUUUGGCCACAUUCUUUGGGUACAAGUUUCUUUUAAGGUUUGACCUAGAGACAGUUGUUUAAUCAACAGCAGGAUUAUAAUAUUGUGUUUUCAUUUAAUUUUUCAGACAAAUUGCAACCCGUAUUGACCCAGGACCUUGGAGUGAGAAGCUGGGCAGACAUUUAGAAGACUUUCCUCAGCAGACCUCUGGAAACUAUUGUGGCAUCCUCAUGGUUAGUUAUGCCCUUUGCCUCUGCACACGUACUAGAUUUACGUUCACUAAGGUAAAUUAUUUCUUAUUAUAAAGAAAAGCUCAGGUAUUUGUCCCAUUUGUCUAAUUAUUGCACUAUUUAUUUUCUUUUCCUUUUUCAAAGUGACAUACCAUUGAUCCGCCAUUAGUGGUGCAUCCUACUGAUGGAGAGGUUUCAGAUAGAGGGACAUGGCCAACGGUUUGCUUACUGGAGCGAUGAGGCUGUUGAGUUGUUGCAAGGCACUCUUCAGCCUCUUUUUAGAGUGUCUGGGCGAAUCUCUUCAACUGUCCCAUCUCACAUGCAAGCUGUGAGUGACCGGGUGGCAGAUGAGAAGAAGCUGGUAGACUUCAUUGUAGAAGCACAAGGCUCCCAGCAGCAUUUGUCGGUAUGUUAUUGAAUUAUUAGCAAAGUCCAUGGUUCAGAUUUUAUAGAGUUACUACAUGUCAAUAAAUAUGCCAAACUAUAAUUUAAGGAUUGUGUUGGAAGUGGACACCUCACGCUGGACUGCCAUUGCCCAAAGCCAUCAGUAAAGGUGUGGUGUGCUACUCAUGUAGUACAGGGACAGAACUUGGUACCUGGUCUUGUAAUAUUUCAUUCACUUUUUACUUAAGUGAUUGGUGUGAGACCAUUUAAGGGUAGAUAAAGUUAACUUAAAUAUAAGGGGAGAAAGGGUGCUCUUUAAUAAUAACCUAUCACUUAAUGCAUUUACAAGCAACAUUGGCCUUUUUUUGUUUGUUUCUUGAACACAAAGGAUACUCCAUGGUAAUGAGCUUUCCAAGUGGCUGGAUAGAUUCCAGGAAAAGUCGUCAUCUUUCCGAGUGCCUGUGUACCUGGAGUCUGACGAACAACAGGAUGCCCUUUUCUCAUAUAUUGAGAGAUUUCUGAGAACUGUACAAACAGCAUUCCCUAUUAGAGAUUGUGUGCAGUUCAUUCUGGAUGUCUUAUUCCCUGAGUCCAUCAUCCAUGCCCUGGCUACUCUACAGGGUGUAUCAGGACAGGAGGCAGAAGUCUUAUUUCUUGGUGGCCCAGAAUACAGUAUCAGUGAAGUGGAAGAAUUUAACCGAAAGAUAGGGCAGCAAUUAAAGAAGGAGAGAAUGCUGUGAUAUCUUUUGGAAUAGAAGAUGAUGCUACUGCCCAGUGCUUACAGAAUCCUUCAUUUGAGUCUUGGGUCUGAAUCUACUGCGUCAUUGCCAAGUAUUCUGGGGUAAUGUAUCUUGUUUUGUUUACAUUUUGUUUUUCUCCAUAUUCCAAGCUCAUUUACUUGACCUUAGCUUUAAUAAACUAGAUGGCUGUCUCCUUCACAAUUGAUUUUAAAGUACUAUACUAUUCAUUACAUAAAAAGCUCUGAACAAUUUAGUCCCUUCCUGUAUUUGGUACUGUCUCUCCCCCA